CCCUAUAUGGUGAUCAGGAUGGCAAGCUCCAAUACAGCGUGAGAAGGGUGAUUCAAAGAUGACACCAUGAAGUGACAAUCACUGUCACUGCCUUUGAAAAGCACCACCACAGAGACUUUAAGAAGAGGUUUUGUAAGUUCUUGGACCCUUAAGUCUCUUUAUUUUUUGAACAGAGAAUGACAGCAUGCUGACAAUUCAUGAGAUAGGAUAUAAAGUAUUUGGGACCUGUUCGGUAGCCCUGGCUGACAUGGAAUCUCCUGCCUAGGUCUUCAGAGUGCUGCAAUUAUAGUCAUGUACCACCACAUCUGGACCAAUUUAGUUUUUAACUGAAAGCAAACAUUUUUU